ensembl:lncRNA
UGGGGAAGGUUUUCCUUCUGGAGAUCCCUCCCUUGGGAGUUUUUCUGCAAGCUUAGGGCAUGGUGUUGGUAAUGCCUGUUCCCAAGGAACUGCAGUUCAGCUUGGAGCAUUGAGCAGCAUCUCCAGAGGACAAACUAAGGGAGGUACAACUCUGAGGUUGUAUCAGACCUGGAAAGUAAUUACGCAUCAGCUACUUGGAAAGGAGACUUAAUGCCAGGUUACCCAAAAGUUUUUUCUCACUGGUACUAUAAUAAGGCUGAGAUGAAGAAAUUGGACAUCAGUUGCCUUAGGCAUUCACUUGGCCCAGAAGGUAAAAAGGUUUGUAUGCCACAACAGCAAUAAAGGCACUAUUUAAGGAGGAUAGACAUGACACUGAGAUGUAGUUUGGCCAGGAAGCUGCACAGGAAAAGCAAACAUCAAUGUGAAUCCCAGAUGCAACUUUUAUGAGAGAAGGUAGCAGCAUUGAAGAGUUAAUGCUUUUGUUUUUAUGGCCAAAUUACAGAUAUUUUUUGCUCCAAUUUUCUGUCAGUUCCCUGAAUGAAUGCAUUAUUAAAGGAAAAAGAAAGAUCUGGUUUAAGAUGUCAUGAGUGACUGUUCAGAGUUACUCAGUGACAUCUGAGGAAAACAGGGCUUACAGGCGAUCUGUGGUUUGAAAUUAGAUUUGCCAAAUGCUACAUAAAACAAUCAGAUACGCACAAAUUAAAGCUGUUGACAGCCAUUUGCAAGCUGGAUUAUAAGGAGAUAAAGCUCAAUGAACGUUACUGCCAACAAAUAAUCUGAAUUGUUUCUACUGUGAGUAUAGAGUACUUGAAAUAACUGGUGGCAUGUUUGGGGUAAUCGUGUUGAUUUAAAACAAAAAAUAGCCCUAUCCUUCCACAAGAAAGAGUGCUUCUAUUGCCAACAGUUUUUUGAAUGGUGGUAUAGGCUGUUUUAUGCUAACUGUUUUAUUUGUGCUCAAUCUUAUGACAAAGCAGCACUUCAGUUUUAUCGGCCUCUAAACAAAACCAGGAAAGUGUCAAUUUUAUUAAUUCUUGCUCAAUGUUUUAUGUUUGAUUAAAUGGAAAAAAAAUCAGAAUCCAUUUUAUUGGAAGGACUUGUGCAGUUUUAAGGGUUUCCUUUGAUUUGCCAUGAUGCUUUUCUUUUGAAUCCAUAUGCUCGUCUAGGUAGCAAAAUGUAGUGUUAGUUCUAUCAGCUGAUGUGAAAUACUUGUUUGCUGAGCUUCUCAGCACCACUAAUAUUUUGAAACAGGUAGCACCCUAUGGCAGCUGUACUCUCCCAUGGCUGGUCAGCCAGCUAAGGCAUCUCAGCACAGGGCUGCAUUGUGGUUUCAGUUUUGCAGAGAGACCAGCAAAUGCAUUUACAGAUGAGUUAUGCUUGACGUCUCUGGGAGAGCUUGCCAAACUAUUGCCAGUGAAAUCUUUCUCUCAGAGUGUAGCAGGAAUUCAGCCAUCAAGCUCAUCUGGGACUCAUUUCUUCCUUUUUCUUCUCAUUUCAAGUGGAGUAUGCUUAAUUCCCUUUUGGAGCAGCAAAGACGGCAUGGAAUGAUAGCAGAAAAGACAGAUGAGAAGUUGAGUGAGCUAGAAUUUAGAUCUGGCUUAUAGUAACUUCAGAGACAUUCAGUGUGGGCUGAAUUUAUUGCAAAACUUUGCCCAGCAGCACAACAAGGAGGCUGGUCACUGAAGGCUUCCUAGUUUAAUUUUUACCUGAGUGAGUUUGUCGCUACUUCCUAUCAGGCUGAAAUAUCUACUAGGCUAUUUGUAUCUUUGAAAUGAGCUCCACUUGCUUGAUUUCCCCUUUGUGGGGACUGACUUUCUAAAAUCUGAAGUAAACGCACUGUAAACUGGAGGGCCUGUGGAAAAGUGGAUUUCAGUUUCUUAACAAAAUACAUUAAAGGAUGCUAGAACAGUGACAGGUUUUCCAACAAAGUAAAAUUUUCUCAUAUUUUAAUCACACUCAAGACCAUUUUCUGUCCUUAGAUAUAUUUGAAUACCCUGUGUGAAGUUGAACUAUUUCCAGAGAAUAAACUAAUAAAUGUAGAUAACUGCAUACAAGUGUGGCUCAGCACAGAAAUGCAGGAGCUGAUAUUUGAAGCACAAAAUCAAGUGAGAAAAAGGAGGUGACAAGGAUGAAUGGCAGAAAUGGAGAGGCAAGGAGGUACAGAUGUUGGCAUCAGCUCAUAAAAGCAGAACACUGUGCUACUCUUCCUUGCAGUGUCCAAUCCAGCAGAUGUAUUUUGAUCAUGUCCUCCAGAUCAGGUUUCACAGAUGAGCCUGAGCAAUUACAAAUUCUCGGCAGGGCUUAAAAGUGAGCUACAAGUUCUGUAGUUCUGGCAUGUCACAUUGUAGGCAGACUGUGUAUCCUCAGAAGCAAGACCUACCCGCUCUUCUUCCAUAGCAUAACAGUCCCAGUGCCACAGGCCUAUGGAAAUAGUGAUGGGUCUUGAGGGAUGAAAAUCUAGUCUUAAUUGCCUGCCUCAGCAGUUGGCCUGAUUGUAGAUUUGGCAGGAGAGUUGUCCUGUUCAUGUUCCCACUCUUUUGAACUAUCUAUGCAGAAUGCAGGGAGGUUUCUUUCUGUGCUGUUUUAAGAUGCCAAAGUUCAGUUUUAAAAUGAAAGAGCCCAGAAGUUAGAAAGACACUGCUCUACCCUUGCCUCUCAAGCACUUGAAAUCUUGGAGAACUUGGAGAUGAAAUGAAGAAGGGCAUCUAACACCCAUUGAAACAUGUAUUUCUUCCGUGAUUGCUUUAUUUACUUUAGUAAGAAGUGUACAGAAAUAAGAUAAAUUUGUUGGAAUUGAUUUCUGCAGAAGCCCAGAUCCUACCACUGUAGUGUGCUGAUGAAUGGGAGUCUGCAUGACAAGUUAUGAAAUGCAAUGAGGUGCACACAAGAUUAACUGUUGUUAAGCCCAUGGUCUGCUUAGUCUGGGCAGGUCAAACACUAGCUGGAACAGAAAAGCGAACCUUUGUGCAAUGAAUAAUAAAAAUACAGAAAACACAAGGUAAAGUUACAAGGUGAAGAAUUAGUGCCAGUGUUACCAAGCAAUGCACAGGUGACAAAUUAUGACUUAUGUUCUGUAGUCAGCAUACACCAACCUCACACCUGCAGGAUAGAAGCCAGAAGCCUCUGGGUUAGAAUUUUGCUAAUGUUUAAAUAUUUCUACUGUAUUUUUAUGCUAUGACCAUCAUGAGAGAGAAAGCCUGAGAAAAUUCAUGUUUGAUCAAUGUGAAGGGCAUACAGGAAAAUUAUGGGGUCUUUGUAUUCAGUAUGCCAGGCAUGGAAGCCUUGGGAAGAUUUGCUCCCAGUCAUGAGAUGCACUGAUAAAAGGCACAUAACAGUGUAGUUCAUGAUUUAUGAGAUUGAACUCUGAGUGAGAUCUUCCAAAAUAGCUAGCAGCAAAGUGUGCAAUCCUGUAAUAUUUAGCUAUUAAGCACUGUCCUUUUUUUGUCUAUUGUGGUAUAAUUUGCAUUUUGAUUAAACUAGCAAAAUAUUUUGCUAAACAAAAGAGCCUCUUAUUAAAUGUAAUUAUGUUUCAGGUCUAGGUGACUGUUUUUACUGAAGGAAAAAAAAACACGCUAAUUUCUCUUUACCUUUUGUAUUAUAAAAAAAUAUGGUUACAGUAGCUGGAUAAAUCAAUAAAAACAGAUAACUAAACCAAUCAUGUUUAGUGUAACAGCAAAUUGCUAGGAGCUUAUAGUCUAGUCUAAGAAUUUCCCUUUAUGUUAUAGGCUAAUAUAAAUAGUCCUCCAAAAUGUAUUAUGUCUAUUUUUUUCCUGUCAUUACCCACAGAUUAAUACUGCAUUAAUAACUGCUACUGUAAUAUAAAAGACACAGGGUAACAGCUGGGAUAAAAUCAUCACAAAAGUCCAUGUUUUUGUUACCUGUUCUUAACAGGAGCUGGGAAUCUUUUGUUUUAAAGUGUAUUUUAAUUGCCACACAAAAUAGAAGUCUGGUAUUGAUUUGGGAUGUAUUUCCAGAUACUAAAACUGUGCUGCUGAUAUAAUCAGUUUUGAGCUGUUCUUUAGCUCUCUUGUUGCUUUAAUUACUUUAAUUAGGUGUACUUCCCCAGAUCUAAGAUAAGGUAGCAGUUGACUGAUGUACUUUCUCAUGCUGAUACUUAAAGAGAAAAGAAAAUUGAUUCGUUCUUCCUUUUCUUUUGUAUACCUUGCCACCUCACAGUGUGUGAUUAUAUCACCAGUUGGGACACGUGCUGGAGAGGAAUAAAGUGAGCUGGAGCCAGAUAAUAACAUUUUUCCAUUCACAGGGAGUGUGUGCAUCUCCUUGAGGAACAGAAUGCCUGAAAUCAUUGGAUUCCAGGGUAGCUCAGCCUAUAUCAGACUCAAACGUAUGAUUGCAGCUCUUAAAGUGUAAUGAGACCCAACUGUACAGUGAAACUUUUCCAGACAUAUGUAUGUGAUACGGGAAGAGUCAGGUGCAAAAAUUUCUGUUGUCUAGUCAUAAGCUGCAAAAAAUUAUUCUCUGUAAAAUGUAAAAAUCCAGUGAACUCUAACGCAAAACUUUGUUUAUGUAUGUUCACACCCACCACAUUUCUCUUUAGAGUUUAAGUAUCUUCAGAGUAAAAGUUGUGGGUUUGGGGUUGUUUUGGAUUUAUUUUUUUUCACUGUUUUGUUUUGCUUUGUUUUUAAUAAUAAACACACACAAAAAGGACUUGAAUCCUCCUCUUCUGUUCAG